rnacentral:rRNA from 1 species
UACGAAGGGGGCUAGCGUUGUUCGGAUUUACUGGGCGUAAAGCGCACGUAGGCGGAUCGUUAAGUCGGGGGUGAAAUCCUGGAGCUCAACUCCAGAACUGCCUUCGAUACUGGCGAUCUUGAGUCCGGAAGAGGUGAGUGGAACUCCUAGUGUAGAGGUGGAAUUCGUAGAUAUUAGGAAGAACACCAGUGGCGAAGGCGGCUCACUGGUCCGGUACUGACGCUGAGGAGCGAAAGCGUGGGGAGCAAACAGG